GAAAAAAUGUAUUUAUCAGGAGGAAGUGUAUCACAAUUAUGCAAAGUAAAGGGAAAGAGAUGUGCUUCGUGGACAGAACGCUUCCCUUCCUGUCAUAGGUAGUAGAAUGGGUGAUGCUUCGCUUGAAAAGUCUCCGUGCAGGACUGAGUGACAGCUACAUGGCGGUAUGCACUCAUGAAAUGGCUAUUGAAUAAAGGAGAGGAAAAACAAAGUCAUUUCCAUAUUGAAUAGCUCUAUAGUCUCCAGAUGAGAACUCAGUCCUGCUUACACAUUUACUUCAGCCUUGUGAUACCUCAACCAGAGAAGACAUUCCUUGGUAGACCUUUGACCCACAAUACUGUCAGCUAAGGAACAGGCAUCACUUUUAGCUGAUAACACCAAGUCCCAUCACAGCUGUGAAAGGAGUUCUCUGCUGGAAUUUGCAAGAUGUCCACCAUCAUAGACCAUCUAGGGAGAGCAAAGAAUUGUAGCUGUGGCUGUGCCAGCCAGAUUUCAGAAGAAAGGGAAGUCUGAGGACCUGAAGGGCAUGAAAUGA